rnacentral:rRNA from 1 species
GUGGGGAAUCUUGCGCAAUGGGCGAAAGCCUGACGCAGCCAUGCCGCGUGAAUGAUGAAGGUCUUAGGAUUGUAAAAUUCUUUCACCGGGGACGAUAAUGACGGUACCCGGAGAAGAAGCUCCGGCUAACUUCGUGCCAGCAGCCGCGGUAAUACGAAGGGGGCUAGCGUUGCUCGGAAUUACUGGGCGUAAAGGGCGCGUAGGCGGACAGCUUAGUCAGAGGUGAAAGCCCAGGGCUAAACCUUGGAAUUGCCUUUGAUACUGGCUGUCUUGAGUUUGGGAGAGGUGAGUGGAACUCCGAGUGUAGAGGUGAAAUUCGUAGAUAUUCGGAAGAACACCAGUGGCGAAGGCGACUCACUGGCCCAAUACUGACGCUGAGGCGCGAAAGCGUGGGGAGCAAACAGGAUUAGAAACCCGAGUAGUCC